GGGACAAGAAGAGUAUUUUUUACAACUAUUGCAAUUGUACCUCCUAACUUCUUGCCUGAGAGAACAAUUGGAUUAGUCUACCAUAAAGAAGCAGCUUAAAAAAAAUAACCAACUUCACCAAUAUAAAACCUGUUGCACUUGUCAAAACACUUGAACUUUCUAUAUAUCCAGAUACUUAAAUUUAAUUUUAAAAGUUUCGUUUCUUUCGUGUUUCAUUUUGUUUGAUAGACUUUGAAGUGUCGGAUUUCUUUUGCCUUGUUUUACAACCAAUCUAAGCAAAACAGUUGUUCUGGUUUAUAUUCUAUCUUCCGAGAAACAUAGAGAAGCAAGCGAUUAAGCUAGUUCUUUCCGUGACUUAUGAAAAUUUUCCUUCUUUUGCAUUUCCUUUAACACUGUUUUCUCUAUAGCCACACAGUCUUUUUUUUUUUUUUUUUAAUCUUUUGGGUUAUACGGAACAGAUUCUAUAAUGCAGUCAACACACUGAAAUGCAGUGCUUUUCUUUCUCUUUUCUAAUUUAAAAAAAUAUAUUAAAGACUGCAAAAAAAAAAGGAAAACAUUCUGGAUUGUGGUUUGUAUAUGAGGAUCAAGAAUGGUACAGUAAAAACCUACAUCAGCGUUGAUUUGAAGAAAACCCAGAUCAGCGGUCCUUUCUAGAAGCAUUAAGAGAGAUCGUAGCCCCACCUAGUGUCCUGUGGUGGGAUCACAUCUUGGAAAUGAAAAUAUCAUGGGCAAGAUCGUAGAUCAGGCAGUUAGCAUAAGGCUGGAUGCUGACAGGCAAGUGGAAGAUUUAAAUACACCCAUUUUGGAAUUGGAUUGAAAUAGUAAACAAAAACAAGUAAAGACAUAGAAGGUAUGAAUAAUGCAAUCAGUAUAUUUGAUUACAUAACUAUGGCUAUACAAGGGGCAGAGGGCUUAAAUUCAUCAAAAAGAGAAUAAUCUUUAUUGUCUAUCUAUUGAAUAUUUACAAAAAUUAACCAUGUACUUAGCUAAAAUGAAUAGCUUAAAUCCAAGAAGUAAAGUGUUUAUAUAUCACAUUCUCAUAAUAUCGUAAAACUAGAAAAAGGGAAUUUAAAAUGUAUCAUAAUUACUUGGGAAUUAAGAAGCCACUCAACUCUUAAAUCAAAGGAAACAGAAAAAUAAAAAUUAUAAACUAAAAAACA
rnacentral:lncRNA from 1 species